AUUGAACGCUGGCGGCAGGCCUAACACAUGCAAGUCGAGCGAGCGGCGGACGGGUGAGUAAUGUAUGGGGACUGCCCGAUAGAGGGGGAUAACUACUGGAAACGGUGGCUAAUACCGCAUACCAUCAGAUAACCCAUAUGGGAUUAGCUUGUAGGUGAGGUAACGGCUCACCUAGGCGCCGAUCCCUAUCUGGUCUGAGAGGAUGACCAGCCACACUGGGACUGAGACACGGCCCAAACUCCUACGGAGGAAGCAGUGGGGAAUAUUGCGCAAUGGGGGCAACCCUGACGCAGCCAUGCCGAGUGAGUGAAGAAGGCCUUCGGGUUGUAAAGUUACUUCGGUAGCGAGGCGUUAGCUGCAGAAGAAGCACCGGCUAACUCCGUGCCAGCAGCCGCGGUAAUAC
rnacentral:rRNA from 1 species